rnacentral:rRNA from 1 species
AUUGAACGCUGGCGGCAGGCCUAACACAUGCAAGUCGAGCGCGAAAGCACUUCGGUGUGAGUAGAGCGGCGGACGGGUGAGUAAUGCUUGGGAAUCUGCCCAGUAGUGGGGGAUAACGUGUGGAAACGCACGCUAAUACCGCAUACGUCCUAUGGGAGAAAGCAGGGGAUCUUCGGACCUUGCGCUAUUGGAUGAGCCCAAGUCGGAUUAGCUAGUUGGUGGGGUAAAGGCCUACCAAGGCGACGAUCCGUAGCUGGUCUGAGAGGAUGAUCAGCCACACUGGGACUGAGACACGGCCCAGACUCCUACGGGAGGCAGCAGUGGGGAAUAUUGCACAAUGGGCGAAAGCCUGAUGCAGCCAUGCCGCGUGUGUGAAGAAGGCUCUAGGGUUGUAAAGCACUUUCAGUAGGGAGGAAAUGCUGUUGAUUAAUACUCAACAGUCUUGACGUUACCUACAGAAGAAGCACCGGCAAACUCCGUG